ACCAUAGAUAUGUCAGGGAUCCUGAUUCACCACCGCCUCCGGCUGAGUAUGUGGACGAGAUUCUCGGGGUGAUGGCCGCACUUGAGGGCAUGGUUCUUCGGAGAGAGACACACCUAUCCGUUAUGGGUGUGCAGAUGCCUCCUGUAUAUGCUCCGCCGCGGGCCGGGCCACCUGGGCCUCCUUGGGGAGCUGG